AACGAACGCUGGCGGCAUGCCUAACACAUGCAAGUCGAACGAGACCUUCGGGUCUAGUGGCGCACGGGUGCGUAACGCGUGGGAACCUGCCCUUAGGUUCGGAAUAACUCCCCGAAAGGGGCGCUAAUACCGGAUAAUGUCUUCGGACCAAAGAUUUAUCGCCUUUGGAUGGGCCCGCGUUGGAUUAGCCAGUUGGUAGGGUAAAAGCCUACCAAGGCGACGAUCCAUAGCUGGUCUGAGAGGAUGAUCAGCCACACUGGGACUGAGACACGGCCCAGACUGCUACGGGAGGCAGCAGUGGGGAAUAUUGGGGGAUGGGCGAAAGCCUGAUCCAGCAGUGCCGGGUGAGUGAUGAAGGCCUUAGGGUUGUAAAGCUCUUUUACCCGGGAUGAUAAUGACAGUACCGGGAGAAUAAGCUCCGGCUAACUCCGUG
rnacentral:rRNA from 1 species